UACGAAGGGGGCUAGCGUUGCUCGGAAUCACUGGGCGUAAAGGGUGCGUAGGCGGGUUUUAAGUCAGAGGUGAAAUCCUGGAGCUCAACUCCAGAACUGCCUUUGAUACUGAAAGUCUUGAGUAUGGGAGAGGUGAGUGGAACUGCGAGUGUAGAGGUGAAAUUCGUAGAUAUUCGCAGGAACACCAGAGGCGAAGGCGGCGACCUGGACAAGUACUGACACUCAACUGCGAAAGCGUGGGGAGCAAACAGG
rnacentral:rRNA from 1 species